AUGCAUGUUUUGCUUGUUUUCUUGGUGACGUUUUGGCGAAUAUUUCUUCAAACGCUUCGAAACAAGGGGAAAAGUUU